rnacentral:lncRNA from 1 species
CUAACCACAUAUUCCAAUUUUGUUCCGGGCUACUGGAUGAGCCAUCAAUCCCCACUCUUUGCAGGACACAUUUAAUGAACGUGCAUUCCUAGAAGACAUGACUCAUUGAUUCCUCCAUUGUACGGCAGAGAGGACAAAGAUUCACAACCUGUAAAUUUCUAUCUUUUAAAUUGUUAAAAGUAGGGAGGAAGUUAUUGGCAAUUCUCUAAGAUGUAAUUUUGAUUUUGCUUGCAACCUGUAAUCUCUAUAAUUUGUUGUAAAUUUUCUGUAGUAGCGUAGGCUGAUGUAUCCUUUCCUCCAGCCCUAUUAUCGUAUCCUUCUGCAACAGCCAUUUGUAUCCAGUUUUUUGCGGAAUAUACACCUGUUUUGUCACCCCUCCACACCUUUUUCAUCGUGAAUAUCCACUGCAGCAAGUGGGAUAGAAAGAAUUCUGGAUAUUUUCUCUUCCUCAAAAAGCUGUUGUAACACACCAAAUCUCCAGGUAACAUGAUCAAAAUUAACGAGGUAUGCUAUUGAUGUAAAAUUAAUAUUAAUAUGUUGAACUCUUACUUUGCUAUUCCCAGGUCUCGGGAUCCAAGCUUCAUUCCAAAUAUUAAUCGACUUUCCAUUCCUCACUCUCUAUCCCAUUCCUUCCUCCCAAAGUUUCCUCGCACUCCAGAUACUCCUUCAGGUAAACAAAGGAUAAGAUCCUAACCUCACACUCAUAAAGUCAGUAUUCGGAAAAUACUUUGCUUUUAUAACACGUGUAAAUAAGCAAUCUGGCUUCGUAUUUAAUCUCCAACCUUGUUUCGCAAGUAAAGCUAUAUUAAAAUUCGCCAAAUCCCUAAAACCAACCCUUCUUGAUAUUUCAGUUUACACAUUAUUUUCCAAUCACACCAAUCAAUUCUCUUCCCUAUUUUAGAAUUUCCCCACCAAAAUUUGCUAAUAAUAUUUUCAAACUGACGGCAUAGUGAAACGGGAAAUAAGAAAUAUUGCAUAGUAUAAACUGGAAUGGCUUGUAAUAUAGCUUUAAUAAAAACUUCUUUACCUCUAAGUGACAACUGGCGAACACUCCAACUUUCAAUACGUUUAAUCAUCUAUCUUUCAAACUCGCAAACGCCUUCUUUUUUCACCUUCCAAUUAUAGUCGAUAAACCCAAAUAUCUCAAUAGAUUAUUGGAAACCCUUACCUCAAGAAUCACUCCAAUCUGUUCUUGCAUAUCGAUUUGAAUAUUACUACUGAAAAUAAUUAGUGAUUUCUCAAAAUUAAUCAACUGCCCUGAAACCCCUUCAUAUUCAUUCACAACUGUUUUAAUAGCAUUUGCAUUAUCCAAACUUGCUUCCCCAAAUACAAUACUAUCAUCAGCAAAGAAAAUAUAAGUUAAACUAAGUCUUCCUCUCCCCAUCCUAACACCUUUAAUAGCUCCCUCUCUUUUUUCCAAUUGAAUGAGUGAAGAAAAACCUUAUGCACAGAUAAGAAAAAAUAUAUGGGCUCAAAGGGUCCUCUUGUCUCAAACCCCUUGAAGGCUUAAAUUUUUCUCCUCUAAUCCCAUUAAACAGAACCGAAUAUUCCACCGAUCAAAUGCACCCUAUCACAAGAUUCGGCCAUUCAUCACAAAAACCCAUUCGUUUCAUUACUUGUUCAAUAAAAUUUCAUUCAACCCUAUCAUAGGCCUUGCUUAUAUCUAAUUUCAAUGCAAAAUAGCUCCGAUUUCCCUCUCUUUUUGGUUUUAAUGUUUGUAAAACCUCAUAGGCAAUUAUCACAUUAUUCGUGAUUUGUCGUCCAAGAACAAAAGCUGCUUGCGCCUCAUCAAUGCGCUUGUCCAACACAGUUCUAAAUCUGUUAACAAUUGUUUUGGAUAUGAUUUUGUACACCAUAUUACAUAAACUAAUCGGCCUAAAUUGUGUCAUACAAUUUGGGGAAUCAACUUUUGGAAUAAGCACUAUACUAGAACAUUUAAUAACGUCAAUCUUUUUUUUCCUAUUAAGAAUUUUUAAACAAAACUUUGUGAUAAUACUCUGAAAUAACAUAUUUUUAUGUGUUAAUUUCAUAUAUAUUUUGAGUAUGGUUCUACUAAUUUUGGUUUUUUACGGUUUUUUAUCUUGUAGGGAUUAAAUUGAAGGCAAAAGAAAAUUUAGGGGCAAAAAGCAUGAAAUUAAAGACAAAAUAGGUUAGCAUGAGAAACAGGGAAGAAGUGGUGCCUAAAAUACAAAGUAUGAAAGACUUGAGGCAAAAAUUCAAAAAAGAGAUUUAUGAACAUAAGACUUUAUAUAAAUUUGAAUUUUAUUUUUAGGAUUAUUGUUAGGAUUAUUAUGAUAUUGUUUAGACUUAAUUUCAAAUUAUAUCUUUUAUUAUCUUCUAGAAUUUAAAUAGGAACAAGCUAGGUUUUUUAUGUACUAUAAAUAAGAGAUGAAGUGACAUGAAUAUGGAUCAUCAUUUUCUGUAAAAAAAAACUCCUUCCCCCUAAAGCUCUUAGCUUUUUGUUUUUUUUUUUUUAUUUUCCAAUAAAAUCCAUUCCAUUAAACUUAUUUCUUUUUUUCCCAAAAAGCAUGAGCCACUAAACUCAUCUAGCCAAAAGUUAUCAAGACUCCUCCAAAAAAGUUAAUGAGGCUUAGAAACCACAUUAACCCUUCUCAACGGGUAUUCAUCAUUUUUUCGUAUUACGGGACUAAAAUUCUGUCCAUGUCCUUCCAAAAGUAAUUUUUUUUAUCUUGUGCAAAGGCGGCCGCUUUGCAUGUUUUGGGAAGGUUGCACAGUCGGUUCGUUAACUUACUGUAUCAGAGGUUGUCGAGCCCAAGAGAUGAAAUGGCGUGUUAUUCGCCAUUGAGAAAUGGUGAUCUAGUAUAAGACGGUCUCACAAAAGUGACAGUUGGCUAGAGUCAGGUUCCUCUAAAUUGUAAGGCUAAAACCUAAGUGGACCUAUGGUCAUAGGCGUCCUCUUCCACUAUAACCGGCUUAUUUGGUCAUGAGAAUGAUCAUCUAAAAGUCGAUGAUUGAACCAAAGGAGAAUCGAGAUAACCCGGAGGCUAAAAUCCCCUAAUUGGAAAACCCCUUUCCUUCAACUCUACUUCUUAUCACAUUUACGAUUUUGAUCUAUUUCAUUUCGACUUAUCCAUAUUUUUUAAUUCUAUUUUAUUUUAUUUUUUCCAGGUCAGCUAUUUUUUUUAGCACGACUGUGUCCGGGAUUUUAAGAAACAAGAAGCUGUAGCGAUCCAGUCCCUGAGGAUUUGACCCUAUUUCCCUUAUACUAUUAUUUUUGUUAUUUCUUAAGGAUAGGUUAUUUUUUGUGCUUUCAACGACACACCACUUUGUAACCUCCUCUCCCACAAUAUGUCAAUACUUGUGGAAAAAAAGGGCUGGGAAACCGUCCAUACCUGAAGCUAUCAAUGGUGCAAUACAUUUAACUACAGUUAGAACUUCCUCAG